CUGUGAGCUCGAUGAGUAGGGCGGGACACGUGGUAUCCUGUCUGAAUAUGGGGGGACCAUCCUCCAAGGCUAAAUACUCCUGACUGACCGAUAGUGAACCAGUACCGUGAGGGAAAGGCGAAAAGAACCCCGGCGAGGGGAGUGAAAAAGAACCUGAAACCGUGUACGUACAAGCAGUGGGAGCCUCUUUUAUGGGGUGACUGCGUACCUUUUGUAUAAUGGGUCAGCGACUUAUAUUCUGUAGCAAGGUUAACCGAAUAGGGGAGCCGAAGGGAAACCGAGUCUUAACUGGGCGUUAAGUUGCAGGGUAUAGACCCGAAACCCGGUGAUCUAGCCAUGGGCAGGUUGAAGGUUGGGUAACACUAACUGGAGGACCGAACCGACUAAUGUUGAAAAAUUAGCGGAUGACUUGUGGCUGGGGGUGAAAGGCCAAUCAAACCGGGAGAUAGCUGGUUCUCCCCGAAAGCUAUUUAGGUAGCGCCUCGUGAAUUCAUCUCCGGGGGUAGAGCACUGUUUCGGCAAGGGGGUCAUCCCGACUUACCAACCCGAUGCAAACUGCGAAUACCGGAGAAUGUUAUCACGGGAGACACACGGCGGGUGCUAACGUCCGUCGUGAAGAGGGAAACAACCCAGACCGCCAGCUAAGGUCCCAAAGUCAUGGUUAAGUGGGAAACGAUGUGGGAAGGCCCAGACAGCCAGGAUGUUGGCUUAGAAGCAGCCAUCAUUUAAAGAAAGCGUAAUAGCUCACUGGUCGAGUCGGCCUGCGCGGAAGAUGUAACGGGGCUAAACCAUGCACCGAAGCUGCGGCAGCGAC
rnacentral:rRNA from 1 species